CGGUGUCUUGAAAUGCACGUGGACAUCAAUCCCGCCCGGCGUCGCAAUCAGCUUUUCGCCGUGAGCAACCAGUGUUGACGGGCCGCAGACAAGGUCGGGGUGGACGCCAUCCAUCACGUCAGGGUUGCCCGCCUUGCCGAUCCCGACAAUGCGGCCUUCGCGGAUACCGAGAUCACCCUUCACGAUGCCCAGAACGGGAUCGAUAACAAGCACGUUGUGAAUCACGAGGUCGAGGGCGCCAUCGGCGUGACGGGUUGUCGCGCGCAUACCCAUGCCGUCGCG
rnacentral:sRNA from 1 species